UAAUGAUUUCGACUCAUUAGAUUAUGAUGGUAUCAUAAUUACCAA
rnacentral:tRNA from 1 species